CUCAGAUUGAACGCUGGCGGCAGGCCUAACACAUGCAAGUCGAACGUGUAACAGGAAACAGCUUGCUGUUUCGCUGACGAGUGGCGGACGGGUGAGUAAUGUCUGGGAAACUGCCUGAUGCAGGGGGAUAACUACUGGAAACGGUAGCUAAUACCGCAUAACGUCGCAAGACCAAAGAGGGGGACCUUCGGGCCUCUUGCCAUCGGAUGUGCCCAGAUGGGAUUAGCUAGUAGGUGGGGUAACGGCUCACCUAGGCGACGAUCCCUAGCUGGUCUGAGAGGAUGACCAGCCACACUGGAACUGAGACACGGUCCAGACUCCUACGGGAGGCAGCAGUGGGGAAUAUUGCACAAUGGGCGCAAGCCUGAUGCAGCCAUGCCGCGUGUAUGAAGAAGGCCUUCGGGUUGUAAAGUACUUUCAGCGGGGAGGAAGGGAGUAAAGUUAAUACCUUUGCUCAUUGACGUUACCCGCAGAAGAAGCACCGGCUAACUCCGUGCCAGCAGCCGCGGUAAUACGGAGGGUGCAAGCGUUAAUCGGAAUUACUGGGCGUAAAGCGCACGCAGGCGGUUUGUUAAGUCAGAUGUGAAAUCCCCGGGCUCAACCUGGGAACUGCAUCUGAUACUGGCAAGCUUGAGUCUCGUAGAGGGGGGUAGAAUUCCAGGUGUAGCGGUGAAAUGCGUAGAGAUCUGGAGGAAUACCGGUGGCGAAGGCGGCCCCCUGGACGAAGACUGACGCUCAGGUGCGAAAGCGUGGGGAGCAAACAGGAUUAGAUACCCUGGUAGUCCACGCCGUAAACGAUGUCGACUUGGAGGUUGUGCCCUUGAGGCGUGGCUUCCGGAGCUAACGCGUUAAGUCGACCGCCUGGGGAGUACGGCCGCAAGGUUAAAACUCAAAUGAAUUGACGGGGGCCCGCACAAGCGGUGGAGCAUGUGGUUUAAUUCGAUGCAACGCGAAGAACCUUACCUGGUCUUGACAUCCACGGAAGUUUUCAGAGAUGAGAAUGUGCCUUCGGGAACCGUGAGACAGGUGCUGCAUGGCUGUCGUCAGCUCGUGUUGUGAAAUGUUGGGUUAAGUCCCGCAACGAGCGCAACCCUUAUCCUUUGUUGCCAGCGGUCCGGCCGGGAACUCAAAGGAGACUGCCAGUGAUAAACUGGAGGAAGGUGGGGAUGACAUCAAGUCAUCAUGGCCCUUACGACCAGGGCUACACACGUGCUACAAUGGCGCAUACAAAGAGAAGCGACCUCGCGAGAGCAAGCGGACCUCAUAAAGUGCGUCGUAGUCCGGAUUGGAGUCUGCAACUCGACUCCAUGAAGUCGGAAUCGCUAGUAAUCGUGGAUCAGAAUGCCACGGUGAAUACGUUCCCGGGCCUUGUACACACCGCCCGUCACACCAUGGGAGUGGGUUGCAAAAGAAGUAGGUAGCUUAACCUUCGGGAGGGCGCUUACCACUUUGUGAUUCAUGACUGGGGUGAAGUCGUAACAAGGUA
rnacentral:rRNA from 1 species